rnacentral:rRNA from 1 species
UACAGAGGUCUCAAGCGUUGUUCGGAUUCAUUGGGCGUAAAGGGUGCGUAGGCGGCGCGGUAAGUCGGGUGUGAAAUCUUGGAGCUUAACUCCGAAACUGCAUUCGAUACUGCCGUGCUUGAGGACUGGAGAGGAGACUGGAAUUUACGGUGUAGCGGUGAAAUGCGUAGAUAUCGUGAGGAAGACCAGUGGCGAAGGCGGGUCUCUGGACAGUUCCUGACGCUGAGGCGCGAAGGCCCAGGGGGAGCAAAACGGG